rnacentral:rRNA from 1 species
UUGAACGCUGGCGGCAGGCCUAACACAUGCACGUCGAACGGUAACAGGAAGAAGCUUGCUUCUUUGCUGACGAGUGGCGGACGGGUGAGUAAUGUCUGGGAAACUGCCUGAUGGAGGGGGAUAACUACUGGAAACGGUAGCUAAUACCGCAUAACGUCGCAAGACCAAAGAGGGGGACCUUCGGGCCUCUUGCCAUCGGAUGUGCCCAGAUGGGAUUAGCUAGUAGGUGGGGUAACGGCUCACCUAGGCGACGAUCCCUAGCUGGUCUGAGAGGAUGACCAGCCACACUGGAACUGAGACACGGUCCAGACUCCUACGGGAGGCAGAGUGGGGAAUAUUGCACAAUGGGCGCAAGCCUGAUGCAGCCAUGCCGCGUGUAUGAAGAAGGCCUUCGGGUUGUAAAGUACUUUCAGCGGGGAGGAAGGGAGUAAAGUUAAUACCUUUGCUCAUUGACGUUACCCGCAGAAGAAGCACCGGCUAACUCCGUG